CUGAUUCAGAAGCAUCAUGUCGAAGCACCACUUAAACUGUGCUGUUGUUGGCUGUAAAGAGGAGCACAAAACACUUCAUCGCGUCCUAGCCGCAGAGGACAGAAGAGCGGCAAGGCUUGAAUUCAUUUUUGAAGGUAAUGUCCCUGCUACAGUUGUCAAAAAAAAUCGAUUUGUGCUAACCACUUUGAGACGGGCUGUUUCUCCAACUUCGGUCAGUACAAGGCAGGAUUAGCCAAGAAACAUUUGCUAAGAGUGCGCAAUUCCAACUUUGCGAGGAAUACCUGCAGACGAGGGACAUUUAGAGUGGGCGUGGGCAAAGGAAGCAGCAGCUAAUGAAUAUGCAAUGAGCAGCAGAAAACAGAAAACUUUGAAAGGGACUGAAACAGAGGGUAAAAGAGGGAGAUCAGCUGCAUCAAGUGGAUCUGCUGGAGCAUCCAAUCCUUUCUCCUCCAUUAGGGGACAACACAGUUCAAAAACAGUUUUGUUACACGGAGACUGGCCUUUAGGAGUACACUGACAACUGGUUUCAGUCUAUCCUCAGCACUGUGCAACUCUGGAAAUUAGUAAAUCACAAAUGGCCGACCCGACGCCGCAUCAUCACUUGAUCAUGGUCUGA
ensembl:lncRNA